rnacentral:rRNA from 1 species
GAAGCUGUGCUUGCACAGCCUAGCCAAGGCGGACGGGUGAGUAACGCGUAAGGAACUUGCCCUGCAGUCAGGGAUAACAGACGGAAACGACUGAUAAGACCUGGUAAAGUCAGGCGGACUCAUGUCCAGCCUGAUGAAAAGAGAUGCUGCAGGAGAGCCUUGCGUCCUAUUAGCUUGUUGGUGGGGUAACGGCCCACCAAGGCGAUGAUAGGUAGCCGGCCUGAAAGGGUGGACGGCCACAAGGGGACUGAGAUACGGCCCUUACUCCUACGGGAGGCAGCAGUGGGGAAUAUUGGACAAUGGGGGCAACCCUGAUCCAGCAAUUCUGUGUGCACGAUGAAGGUUUUCGGAUUGUAAAGUGCUUUCAGCAGGGAAGAAAAAAUGACGGUACCUGCAGAAGAAGCGACGGCUAAAUACGUGCCGGCAGCCGCGGUAAUACGUAUGUCGCAAGCGUUAUCCGGAAUUAUUGGGCAUAAAGGGCAUCUAGGCGGCCAGAUAAGUCUGGGGUGAAAACUUGCGGCUCAACCGCAAGCCUGCCCUGGAAACUAUGUGGCUAGAGUACUGGAGAGGUGGACGGAACUGCACGAGUAGAGGUGAAAUUCGUAGAUAUGUGCAGGAAUGCCGAUGAUGAAGAUAGUUCACUGGACGGUAACUGACGCUGAAGUGCGAAAGCUAGGGGAGCAAACAGGAUUAGAUANCCUGGUAGUCCUAGCUGUAAACGAUGAUUACUGGGUGUGGGCAUGAAGAGUGUCCGUGCCGA